rnacentral:lncRNA from 1 species
UGACGAAGAAUUUUUCCUCCUCUCGAUUCCAGCCCUGGCCUCCUGUCUGAGUUGGCCAACUCAACUGAGUCCAUUGUCCACCACCUGUCUGAAGCUAAGGCCAAGAAGUUGGACUUGAAGAAGGUCGAAGUAGACGAGGCAACCUUCCGCUGGGAGCUGAAUGAAGACCAAAUGGCAACUGACAAGCUGUCGGACGGCAUCCGCAAGUUUGCUGCCGACGCUGUCAAGCUUGAGAACAUUCUCCGCGAGAAGCUCAAGUGAUGGAAGUUCGUUGAUCAACGAACUUCGCAUUGGACGGUGCUUCAGUGCCGUCAUCGUUUGUCGGCUUGGUUUACCUGUUGUCACACCCACUCCCCCCUCUUCCCCACUUUUUUCGCACAAUGUGUGCCCUUGUGGUGAUAUGUUGGGAGCAAAUUUCAAGACGCAAUAUUUUUAAUGUGACUUUUGACUAUAGAGAGUUUUGAUAUGAAAAAUUAAAACAACUUUUCGCA